GGACGGCCCGCGCGCUCAGGGCUGCCUUUUCUCGCUGCCAGCUGUGCCGUUUCCCCCUGCGCUCCUCGGUCCCGCCGCGAGCCAUGUCUCAGGUGAGCUGCUUCCUUUUUUCUUUCCCAGGGCAUCUGUGUGCUUCAGGACUGGGGGACAGAGGCUGGCUUUCUCCGGAAGCGCCCUGCUCUGGUCCUCUCCUUCGGGCACCUGGACCUGAGGGGACGUGGGAAGGUUGACGGAAGCUGUCCGGUUGUGGGCGGGUUUCGGACCUGGGGGAAGGUCGGGAGCCGGCGGGGGAGGGGGCGGGUGUGUUAGGUCACCUCUUCCUCCUUUUCCCAGUGUUAGAAUGAGGAGUGCUUUACUCUGUCCCUCGCUCCAGCUACCCCUUUCUCAGUCGUACAUAUUAAAGUUUGUUUAUUUUUGAGAGAGGGAGAGAGGAAAUCCCAAGCAGGCUCCUCGUUGUCAGCGCAGUCAGAAGUGGGGCUCCAUCCCAGGAACCGUGAGAUCAUGACCUGAACCCAAAUCGAGAGUCAGAUCCUUAACCGGCUGAGCCACCCGACUGCCCCAGUCAUAUUCUAAUUAAGCAUGUACUUUCAGCACCUGUGUCAGUGGUCUCAAAGUGGAAUUCCUGGACCAGCAGUAUCCGCAUCACGUGAGAACUUACUAGAAGCGUAUAGUCAUGAGCUCCCUUCCCAUACCUUCUGAACCAGAAACUCUGGGUGUGCAGUUCAACAGUCACUCCCAAGUGACUCUGAUGCGUGACCCAUCCUGGGUGUGGGGGGUUCAGCUGGGGCAAACAAAAUCUCUGGCAGUUGUUUCACAGAGGUGGGGGUAAGAAGGCCAACUGUUUGAUUUAGUUCCUGUUUUUAGUUCUACUUCUCUGCCCUACAUACAUUGUCUCAUGCUUGUCUCCAAAUCCAGAUGCUCUCCCAAAUUUGCUGGGGAGUCCAGUUUCCAUCUGUGCUGCAGAUUCCGUUGUUGAGAAAAUAGCUUCCUUUACUAGUCAGUAACCUUUAUCGCUUAAACCUUUUUUUUUUUUAACUGUAAGAUACAACUGCCAUGCAUCUGGAGCUCUUACUAGUUUGACCCCUUUUAAAAUUUCUGCUCAUGCUUAAUGCUUCUGUGGGUUACUGAAGCAGUGCAAAAGCAGGCCGUGAAGUGGGGGCACAUUAUUACUCCUAACCCUGAGGGGAAAGCUUUUGGUUCCAUUCUGGGAUGGGGGACAUGUCUUCCUUGGGUAGUCUUUCUUACUGCGUAUCCUUGUUCUGUGACACUGCUUACAUCGCCGGUAAGUUUCGUAGCCCUUUUUUCAGGAAUGGCGCUAACCGUGUUGCCCUUGAGUGCAUGCCCCUUUUUAAAGGUACUGCUGCUGUCUGCUGUAGCCGGUUGUUACCAUGAAGAUAUUCUUGCUGGAUCUCAUUAAAAUAGGCUGCUAUUAAGGAAAAUAUACACUGCCUACUGAAUACAAAGGGACUGACUUUGUUAUUCGUUAAGUGUUCUAAGAGUCUAAGAACUUGAACAACAAAAGGCAGAAAUCCAUGUUGUUCGUGUGUAUAAUCCUUUAUCUUUCACAAAAUUGUAAAUUAUGUCAGGACAAAUUUUAUUUAUUUUUUUCCUUUUCUCCAAUUAUGCAAUAAAACAAAACAGCUAGGCUCUUACUAAUUAGAAUUCUGAAAACCCCCAUUGCUACUCUGUGCAUACACUGUCUACUCUCCAUGGUGAGACUCAUUUCACUCCUAAUCAGGGCCUUUGGGAGCAUGGGUGCUGGUUGUGCAGAUAUCUGUAUAUCAUUUCAGGGGUCAGUGACAUUCAGAGAUGUGGCCAUAGACUUCUCCCAGGAGGAGUGGGAAUGGCUUCAGCCUACUCAAAGAGAUUUGUACAGACAUGUGAUGUUGGAGAACUACAGCCACCUGGUUUCACUGGGUCUUAACAUUUCUAAGCCAUAUGUGGUUUCCUUAUUGGAGCAAGGCAAAGAGCCCUGGUUGGAGAAAAGAGGUGUGAGAAGAGAUCUGUUUUCAGAACCAAAUCGUGAGGUCAAAGAGUUUUCUCGAAAAAAUGUCAUUUAUGAAGAUGACUCACCCCAGUGUUUGGUAGUGGGAAGAAUUCUAAGCCAUGGCCCUGAAUAUUCCAGUUUUAAAGGAGGCUGGAAAUUCGAGGAAGAUACUCAGAUGCAAGGAAAUCGGGGGUGUAUCCGGCAAGGAACAGUGUCUCAUCAGGGAGCCCUGUCUCAGCACACGAGUAUCAAUACCGUGGAGAGGCCCCAUGGAUGUCAUGAAUGUGGGAAGACUUUCAGUCGGCGCUUUUCCCUUGUGCUACAUCAGAGAACUCAUACUGGAGAGAAACCAUACGUGUGUAAGGAAUGUGGCAAAACCUUUAGCCAGAUCUCAAACCUUGUGAAACAUCAGAUGAUACAUACUGGAAAGAAACCCCAUGAGUGUAAGGACUGUAAUAAAACAUUCAGUUAUCUCUCAUUCCUCAUUGAACACCAGAGAACACAUACUGGGGAGAAACCCUAUGAAUGUACUGAAUGUGGAAAGGCCUUUAGCCGUGCCUCAAACCUCACUCGACAUCAGAGAAUUCAUAUAGGAAAGAAACAGUAUAUAUGUAGGAAAUGUGGGAAAGCCUUUAGCAGUGGCUCAGAGCUCAUUCGCCAUCAGAUUACACAUACCGGAGAGAAACCUUAUGAAUGCAUUGAAUGUGGGAAGGCAUUUCGCCGUUCUUCACACCUUACUCGGCAUCAGAGCAUCCAUACUACCAAAACCCCCUAUGAAUGUAAUGAGUGUAGGAAAGCCUUCCGAUGCCACUCAUUCCUUAUUAAACAUCAGAGAAUUCAUGCUGGAGAAAAGCUCUAUGAGUGCGAUGACUGUGGUAAAGUUUUCACGUGGCAUGCAUCCCUUAUGCAACAUAUGAAAAUUCAUACUGGAGAAAAGCCCUAUGCUUGUACCGAAUGUGAUAAAACCUUUAGCCGGAGCUUUUCCCUCAUUCUACAUCAGAUAACUCACACUGGGGAGAAGCCCUAUGUAUGUAAGUUUUGCAAUAAGUCCUUCAGCUGGAGCUCAAACCUUGCCAAACAUCAGAGAACACACACUCUAGAGAACCCUUAUGAAUAUGAGAAUUCAUUUCAUUAUCACUCGUUCCUUACUGAACACAAAGGAAUUCACGCUAUAGAGAAAACAUAAGAAUAUGGAUUAGGAAAAGCAAACAGUUAAUGCCUUAACUUUGACUUCAGAGGAUUCUUGGGAAGAAGCCUUAUGUGAAUAUGUUCAAUGUGAAGAAAAAUGGGUCAUACUUGAUUCAACAUCCUGGAGAAAAAAUAACCUAGGAAUAUGUGGGAAAGCCAUUAAUAGCUUUGCAUUCUUUUUGUAAUAUCAGAAGAUGAAAUCAGUCAAUACUGAGAAGCCUUCAUCUGGACUCUGUUUCUAAAUCAAAUGUGACCUCCUUACUGGAGCAAGGGAAAGAAUCAAAGAAUGAUGGAGAAAAAAUGAUAAGAGGCCUCUGAUCAGGUAAGUGUGGGGCAAUCAGGCAGGGAGCACCUUUGCAGGUAGUGGCCCAGCUUACCAAAUUGCCUGAAUCAUUCUUUCAAAAAUAACAAUUUGCCCAUAAAAUUCCCUUCAUGCAACAUCAUCCUGAACUAUGUAACUCAUCCUAAAGGUAUUCUCGUCAAUUUGUGGUUGAGAUAGUUCAGAAAAUAAGAACUAUGCCAUUAUUUUUAAUUAAAUUUAAAUACGUAGUUUCUAGAUUAUACAAUAAGAGAUGUCAAGACACUACUAAGUAAGAAAGAAAGUGAAUGGUUUGUGGGAAUUCUGUUAUACAGUAUGUUUUAUUUGUCAUAGCAAGAAGGUGCUAGCAAGGUUCAUAGUUGCUUUCUUUCUCAAUUUUAGCACACAAAUCUGUUACAUCUUUCCAUAUUUAACAUAAUCACUUUUUGUAAGCUGUAGUGCUUUCCAAUGGUAGCGGAAACCCAAAAAAGAAAGUUGCCUGUUUUUCAAGGAGAAAUCCUGUAAAAAUAGCCAGACACACUAAGAUAAACAGCAAACAGUAGGAGAAAAACGCAUGGAUGAUACUGCACUUUACUUAUUUUUUGUAAUGUUUCUUUUUGAGAGAGACAGAGCAUGAGCGGGGGAGAGGCAGAGAGAGAGGGAGACACAGCAUCUGAAGCAGGCUCCAGGCUUUGAGCUGUCUGCACAGGACCCGACGCGGGGCUCGAACCCACAAACUAUGAGGAGUUGCUUCUUAUCAAUGAGCAAAGAAGGUGGUUCCUUGAGAUGGGAUCUAGUCUUGGUGAAGAUGCCGUGAAGAUUGUGGAAACGGCAAAGGAUUUAAAUUAUUACAUAAACUUAGUUGACAAAGCAGUGGCAGGAUUUGAGAGCACUGACUCUAAUUUUGAAGGAAAUUCUACUCUGGGUAUAAAGCUAUCAAACAGCAUCAUGUGCUAUAGAGAAAUCAUUCUUGAAAGGAAGAGUCAAUUGAUGGGUCAAACUUCUUUAUCUUAAGAAAUUGCCACAGCCACCCCAGCCUUCAGCAACGACCACCCUGAUCAGUCAGCAGCCAUCAACAGCAAGGCAAGAUCCUCUACCAGCAAAAAGACUAUGAGUCACUGAAGGCCCAAGUGGUGGUUGGCAUUUUUUUUUAGCAAUAAAGUAUUUUAAAAACUAAGGUGUGUGGUUUUUUUAAAUAGAAAUGAACAAUAUAGCACACUUUAUAGACUGAAGAGUAAACAUAACAUAUGCACUGGGAAACAAAAAUCAUUUGACUUCCUUUCUUGCGAUAUUGUGCUUUACUGUAGUGGUCUGGAACUGAAUCCACAGUAUCUCUGAGGUAUGCCUGUAAUCAAUGAGACAAAACAGACGAGAGAAGCAGACAUACAGGUGCCUAGAUAUUGGGGGUUUUAGACAAGGAUUUUGAUGUAUGGUUAAUAUGUUAAAAUACAGGAAAGAAUGGAAGAAAAAAACCAUUUCAACUAGUAAGAAGAAUCUAUAAGAAAGGCAAGUGGCUAUUCUAGAAUUGAAAAUACCAUAUCUGAAAUUAAGAAUUGAAUAGAUGGACUAAA